rnacentral:miRNA from 1 species
CGUCUGUGAUUUUGGUUUUUAAC